rnacentral:ncRNA from 1 species
CAAUUAGCAAUGAACGAGAAGAUUAGUUUGUGAAAAAUCUUUAGAGACUGUCUGGUUGGUGAAAAGACAGGAUUGACACAAACGAAAGUAGCUCGCGAGUAAGUCGGCUGAAUCUUCAGUAAGUCGGCUCGGUUCAUUACCGAUAUCAAAUGAUCAAGUGAAGACAAUUAGUCUUAAUUUAGGUGGUACCGCGAGUAAGCUCGUCCUAUUU